rnacentral:rRNA from 1 species
CAGCCGCCGCGGUAAUACGAAGGGGGCUAGCGUUGUUCGGAAUUACUGGGCGUAAAGCGCACGUAGGCGGAUAUUUAAGUUAGGGGUGAAAUCCCAGAGCUCAACUCUGGAACUGCCUUUGAUGCUGGGUAUCUUGAGUAUGGAAGAGGUGAGUGGAAUUCCGAGUGUAGAGGUGAAAUUCGUAGAUAUUCGGAGGAACACCAGUGGCGAAGGCGGCUCACUGGUCCAUUACUGACGCUGAGGUGCGAAAGCGUGGGGAGCAAACAGGAUUAGAUACCCCCGUAGUCCCUGUCUCUUAUAC